GGUGAGAUAUAGUGAACGUGAAGAUCAAUACCACCAGCAGUAACGAUCAAGCCUUCACCUGAAAUGGCUUCAGUGCUUGCCCCAACGAUAAAAUCAAUGUCAUCCAUAAUAUCUGGGUUACCACCUUUACCGAUGGCAAUGAUUUUACCGUCGCGAAUACCGAUAUCUGCUUUGAUAAUACCAGUGUAGUCAAUAAUUGUUGCGCCUGAGAUGAUAGUAUCAGCUACCAAUGGAUUGCUUUCACGGGUUUCACUUGCGUUUACACCCAUACCAUCAC
rnacentral:sRNA from 1 species